AGUGAACGCUGGCGGCAGGCCUAACACAUGCAAGUCGAGCGGCAGCGGGUUCCCGCGAGGGGAUGCCGGCGAGCGGCGGACGGGUGAGGAACACAUCGGAAUCUGCCUGGUUGUGGGGGAUAACGUAGGGAAACUUACGCUAAUACCGCAUGCGACCCUGAGUCGACGGACUGGGGGUGAAAGUGAGGGACCUUCGGGCCUCACGCGACCAGAUGAGCCGAUGUCGGAUUAGCUAGUUGGCGGGGUAACGGCCCGCCAAGGCGACGAUCCGUAGCUGGUCUGAGAGGAUGAUCAGCCACACUGGGACUGAGACAC
rnacentral:rRNA from 1 species